rnacentral:rRNA from 1 species
AUACGGAGGGUGCGAGCGUUAUCCGGAUUUAUUAGGUUUAAAGGGUGUGUAGGCGGGAGCCUAAGUCAGUGGUGAAAUCUCACAGCUUAACUGUGAAACUGCCAUUGAAACUGGGUUUCUUGAGUAUAGUUGAGGUAGGCGGAAUGUGUAAUGUAGCGGUGAAAUGCAUAGAUAUUACACAGAACACCGAUUGCGAAGGCAGCUUACUAAGCUAUUACUGACGCUGAUGCACGAAAGCGUGGGUAGCGAACAGGAUUAGAUACCCGAGUAGUCC